rnacentral:snoRNA from 1 species
AAUCUGUGGUGUGGGCAUUUCUGAAUCAACAUUUUAAAACUCUCUCAUGCUUCAUGAAAAAUUUCCCCUCUAAUUGUUUAAACAUCAAAAUUUCCCUUCUUAGCU